UAGUAGUACCUAAAACUCAAAAUUCUGAAAACUGAAAAUGACAUUAGGAUCAUGUCGUGUUCAAGCUUAUGCCUACUGAAACUAAUAGGUAGUUGUUACUGUGCCCCAAACAUGAAGAACAUGGGAGAGCUAAAGAUCAUGUUAUUUUCUUUGGGCUUAUACCCUGGUUCAGACAUAGUAUAUAACAGGGCACAAAAAACCAUCACGGACACAGAAAACAAUGUGGCAAGACAUGGGACAAGCAAAUGGGGUUGAAUCAUUGCUGUGUUGCUGUUAUGGUCUAGGCAGUGCUUUGGGAGGGGGCAUGAAUGGAGGACCCAGUAAAUCCUCCAGUACUCUGCAGCAGAAUGCCCAGCUUCUAUUCUUCCACUAGUUUGAAAAGCAAACUUCCUUCCUAGCUCAGCUUCUAGAGAUUGUCGUUCUAAACCUAGACCUUCCUCUGUCUGCAUGCUACUCUGGGGCCAGAUGCACCUCUGCCCCGAAUCACCCUACAGCUGCUGCCUUACAUGCUGGUGAUAGUUAACCAAGCAUAAGAAAGAAAGGUCAUUAUGUUCCUCUGCCUACUUCUUGGCCUGGCCUACUUUGUUGGCACUAACGCUGAAGCUCUGGGAUACACUUGAAUUUAUGCCCUCAUCACUGUCUUUCCUAGGUAGUGACUUUAACCCUGGAUGCUUACACAACUUGAGAAGUCAGAAUCUGCCUCUGAAUUCAUGCAGUUGGAUUCCUUAGUACAGCCAAGCUGAGUUUUCUUUGCUCCAAAUUAACCCCAUGUAAUUAGUGACCACGAAGCAAAGCUGUCUACACAAAGCUCUUCUGUGUUCCCUUUCUUUUUCUGUCCGAGUUUUUUUUUAUAUUAGCAUCUUAGCAGAAAAUAUUUAUCUUGAUCAAAGCCAGAGGAAGGACAUAAUGGUAUGUUAGAAAUCACUUGUUUCCUGUCUCUUUGCCUAGCUUUCUGAAUGGAUCAAAGUUUGAUUCCCAGCUGUGUAAUCUCUUUGAUCCUUAGCUGUUUUUAGUUUUAAAACAGAUGUUAGGUGAGGGUGUGUGUGUGUGUGUUGUUGUGUGUGGUACGUGUUGUGGUUGUUCUUGUGGUGGUUUUGGUGUUGGUGGUUUGUGAAUGUGUAGGUGCCUGUCUAUACUACAAACCAGAACAGGGCAUCAAGCAUCCUCCUCUUUGCUCUUUGCCUUAUUGCCUAAGACAGGGACUUUUAUUGAACUGGAUGCUUAGGAUUUUGGCUUCUGACAAGUGAGUCUCAGGAUCCUGUGUCUGUCUUCGGGUGCAGAGAUUAUAUAUAGGUAGGCACUAGCAGCCAUGGUAGCUUUUUAUGUAAGCGCUGGAUAUUCAGAUUCAGGUCAUUAUGCCUGCAGAUGAUUCUAAUAUUCUUACUCACCAAGUCAUCUGCCCUUAAUUUUUUGAUCUCUAAAAUAGAAAAGGUGGGAAUGUCUACCUCUCUUACAGGGUUGCUGGGACUGUUAAGUGAGAUAAUGCAUGCAAGUAAUAAUAUGCCUUAUCAUGUGUGAGAAUACUGUCUGAGGCAGUUUCCACCUGUUGAUAUGAUGAUAAAAUUACCUUGGCCAUACCUGUUACCUUUCACUUAAAGCCAUUACGAAUGAAGGAGUUGUUCAUCGUGUGUGUGUGUGUGUGUGUGUGUGUGUAUGAGGUGAAACAGUUUAAUAAAACCUUAGAG
rnacentral:lncRNA from 1 species